CCUACGGGAGGCAGCAGUGAGGAAUAUUGGUCAAUGGCCGGAAGGCUGAACCAGCCAAGUCGCGUGAGGGACGACUGCCCUAUGGGUUGUAAACCUCUUUUAUAAGGGAAGAAUAAAUGCUGCGUGUAGCAUGAUGCCUGUACCUUAUGAAUAAGCAUCGGCUAACUCCGUGCCAGCAGCCGCGGUAAUACGGAGGAUCCGAGCGUUAUCCGGAUUUAUUGGGUUUAAAGGGUGCGUAGGCGGUCAGGUAAGUUAGAGGUGAAAGCUCGAUGCUCAACAUCGAAACUGCCUCUGAUACUGGCUGACUAGAGUGUAGUAGAGGAAGGCGGAAUGUGUGGUGUAGCGGUGAAAUGCUUAGAUAUCACACAGAACACCGAUUGCGAAGGCAGCUUUCCAAGCUAUUACUGACGCUGAGGCACGAAAGCGUGGGGAGCGAACAGGAUUAGAUACCCUGGUAGUC
rnacentral:rRNA from 1 species